GAAAUUUUCAAUUGCACAGUAUUCACCAAUAGCAAGAAAUCUUCAAUUGCACAGUAUUGUGCAAUAGCAAGAAAUUUUCAAUUGCACAAUAUUGCGCAAUAGCAAGAAAUCUUCAAUUGCACAGUAUUGUGCAAUAGCAAAUAUUUUCAAUUACUCAGUAUUGCACAAUAGCAAGAAAUAUCUAAUUGCAAUUUCAAUUGGAGUUAUCUUUCUU
rnacentral:lncRNA from 1 species